AACGAACGCUGGCGGCAUGCCUAACACAUGCAAGUCGAACGAGACCUUCGGGUCUAGUGGCGCACGGGUGCGUAACGCGUGGGAACCUGCCCUUAGGUUCGGAAUAACUCCCCGAAAGGGGUGUUAAUACCGGAUAAUGUCUUCGGACCAAAGAUUUAUCGCCUUUGGAUGGGCCCGCGUUGGAUUAGCUAGUUGGUAGGGUAAAAGCCUACCAAGGCGACGAUCCAUAGCUGGUCUGAGAGGAUGAUCAGCCACACUGGGACUGAGACACGGCCCAGACUCCUACGGGAAGCAGCAGUGGGGAAUAUUGGACAAUGGGCGAAAGCCUGAUCCAGCAAUGCCGCGUGAGUGAUGAAGGCCUUAGGGUUGUAAAGCUCUUUUACCCGGGAUGAUAAUGACAGUACCGGGAGAAUAAGCUCCGGCUAACUCCGUG
rnacentral:rRNA from 1 species